GCCGGAUUCAACCUCUCUGCCAUUACCGGCAACCACCACAAUCUCCUCUCCCAUUUACAGCAGGAAGUGUCGGUGGCGCAGGCAGCGAACAUUCCCUCGGCCGGAACCCAGGACUUCACCAGAGCAAACGGCUAUGGUUGUUGCAGAGUUCACCCGCAUCACCAUGGUUCCUUUGUUGUCGACUUUCAUGGCCAAGCUGGACCACUACGCUGACCACCUUCUUAGAGUGUUGAAGAAGAAGGGGGGGAACAGCUAAACACAAUAUCAACGUAAUCAUGGCAGCCAUGGAUGGGGAUCACCUAAAGAUUGCUUCCUGUCUCCCACACUUCCUGAGAUGAGAUCACCAGGCCCCACCAUCUAUUUAACUGUGUGAAACAGAUGUAUAAAACCAAGUGAUACAAAAGCACUAUUACUAAAACAUGUGACCAAUACAUCAAAUAAAAUAAAUUUCCA
ensembl:lncRNA